rnacentral:rRNA from 1 species
UACGUAGGGUGCGAGCGUUAAUCGGAAUUACUGGGCGUAAAGCGUGCGUAGGCGGUUGGCAAAGUCAGCUGUGAAAGCCCCGGGCUUAACUUGGGAACUGCGCUCGAAACUACUUUGCUGGAGUGUGGCAGAGGAAGGUGGAAUUCCACGUGUAGCGGUGAAAUGCGUAGAGAUGUGGAGGAACACCAAUGGCGAAGGCAGCCUUCUGGGCCAACACUGACGCUCAUGCACGAAAGCGUGGGGAGCAAGCAGG